rnacentral:rRNA from 1 species
AUUGAACGCUGGCGGCAGGCCUAACACAUGCAAGUCGAGCGAGCGGCGGACGGGUGAGUAAUGUCUGGGAAACUGUCUGAUGGAGGGGGAUAACUACUGGAAACGGUAGCUAAUACCGCAUACCAUCAGAUGUGCCCAGAUGGGAUUAGCUAGUAGGUGGGGUAAUGGCUCACCUAGGCGACGCUCCCUCGCUGGUCUGAGAGGAUGACCAGCCACACUGGAACUGGGACACGGUCCAGACUCCUACGGGGGGCAGCAGUGGGGAAUAUUGCACAAUGGGCGAAAGCCUGAUGCAGCAAUGCCGCGUGUGUGAAGAAGGCCUUCGGGUUGUAAAGCACUUUCAGCGGGGAGGCGUUAACCGAAGAAGAAGCACCGGCUAACUCCGUGCCAGCAGCCGCGGUAAUUC